rnacentral:rRNA from 1 species
GCCAGACACCUACGGGUGGCAGCAGUAGGGAAUAUUGCACAAUGGGCGAAAGCCUGAUGCAGCAACGCCGCGUGCGCGAUGAAGGCCUUCGGGUCGUAAAGCGCUUUUCGGGGAGAUGAGGAAGGACAGUAUCCCCGGAAUAAGGUUCGGCUAACUACGUGCCAGCAGCCGCGGUAAAACGUAGGAACCGAGCGUUAUCCGAGUUUACUGGGCGUAAAGCGUGUGUAGGCGGUUCGGUAAGUUGGAUGUAAAAUCUCCUGGCUCAACUGGGAGAGGUCGUUCAAUACUGUCGAACUUGAGGGUGGUAGAGGGAGGUGGAAUUCCCGGUGUAGUGGUGAAAUGCGUAGAUAUCGGGAGGAGCACCAGUGGCGAAAGCGGCCUCCUGGACCAUUCCUGACGCUCAGACACGAAAGCUAGGGGAGCAAACGGGAUUAGAAACCCCGGUAGUCCUAGCUGUAAACGAUGUUGACUUGGCGUUGGUGGGGUAAAAGCCAUCAGUGCCGUAGCUAACGCGAUAAGUCAACCGCCUGGGGGCUACGGCCGCAAGGUUAAAACUCAAAGGAAUUGACGGGGGCCCGCACAAGCAGCGGAGCGUGUGGUUUAAUUCGAUGCUACGCGAAGAACCUUACCCGGGUUUGACAUAUAGGUAGUAGGGAUCUGAAAGGUGACCGACCCUUCGGGGAGCCUAUACAGGUGCUGCAUGGCUGUCGUCAGCUCGUGUCGUGAGAUGUCCGGUUAAGUCCGGUAACGAGCGCAACCCUCGCCAUAUGUUACAUGUGUCAUAUGGUACUGCCGGUAUAAAGCCGGAGGAAGGUGGGGAUGACGUCAAGUCAGCAUGGCCUUUAUGUCCGGGGCUACACACACGCUACAAUGGCCAGUACAAUGGGUUGCAAAACCGCGAGGCGGAGCCAAUCCCCAAAGCUGGUCUCAGUUCAGAUUGUAGGCUGUAACUCGCCUACAUGAAGGCGGAGCUGCUAGUAACCGCAGGACAGCUAUACUGCGGUGAAUACGUUCCCGGGCCUUGUACACACCGCCCGUCACGUCAUGGGAGCUGGCAACACCUGAAGCCGGUAUCCUAACCGUAAGGAGGGAGCCGUCGAAGGUGGGGCUGGUGACUGGGACGAAGUCGUAACAAGGUAGGUGUACCGGAAGGUGCGCCUGG